UAGCGAAAUUCCUUGUCGGGUAAGUUCCGACCCGCACGAAAGGCGUAAUGAUUUGAGCACUGUCUCGACAAUGCAUCCGGUGAAAUUGAAGUACCAGUGAAGAUGCUGGUUACCUGCGCCAGGACGGAAAGACCCCAUGGAGCUUUACUCUAGUUUGGUACUGGGGUCCGGUAUUGCAUGUACAGGAUAGGUGGGAGACUGAGAAGUGUGAACGCCAGUUUGCACGGAGUCAUUGUUGGGAUACCACCCCUGCAGUAUUGGGCUUCUAACAGGUAGCCGUAAACCGGCUAAUGGACAAUGCCAGGCGGGGAGUUUGACUGGGGCGGUCGCCUCCGAAAGGGUAUCGGAGGCGCUCAAAGGUUCCCUCAGAAUGGUUGGAAACCAUUCGAAGAGUGCAAAGGCAGAAGGGAGCUUGACUGCGACACCGACGGGUGGAGCAGGUACGAAAGUAGGACUUAGUGAUCCGGUGGCAUAAAGUGGGAUUGCCAUCGCUCAACGGAUAAAAGCUACCCUGGGGAUAACAGGCUUAUCACUCCCAAGAGUUCACAUCGACGGAGUGGUUUGGCACCUCGAUGUCGGCUCAUCGCAUCCUGGGGCUGUAGCAGGUCCCAAGGGUUGGGCUGUUCGCCCAUUAAAGCGGUACGCGAGCUGGGUUCAGAACGUCGUGAGACAGUUCGGUCCCUAUCCGGCGUGGGCGGAGGAUAUUUGAGAGGAGCUGUCCUUAGUACGAGAGGACCGGGAUGGACGGACCACUGGUGUAUCUGUUGGCUAUCAGAGCCAUGGCAGAGUAGCCAAGUCCGGAAGGGAUAAACGCUGAAGGCAUCUAAGCGUGAAGCCCCCCUCAAGAUGAGAUAUCCCUGCGUAUGCAGUAAGACCCCUUGAAGACUACGAGGUAGAUAGGUCAGAGGUGGAAGUGCAGUAAUGCAUGUAGCUGACUGAUACUAAUAGGUCGAGGGCUUGACCAA
rnacentral:rRNA from 1 species